rnacentral:ncRNA from 1 species
GUAACGGUCCUUUUCAGGACCAUCAAUAUUUAACAAAAAGAUUCU